GCGGCCUAUCAGCUUGUUGGUGAGGUAAAGGCUCACCGAGGCAAUGACGGGUAGCUGGUCUGAGAGGAUGAUCAGCCACACUGGGACUGAGACACGGCCCAGACUCCUACGGGAGGCAGCAGUAGGGAAUUUUGGACAAUGGGCGAAAGCCUGAUCCAGCAAUGCCGCGUGGAGGAUGAAUCCCUUCGGGGUGUAAACUCCUUUUCUGGGGGAAGAAUUCUGACGGUACCCUAGGAAUAAGCGCCGACCAACUCCGUGCCAGCAGUCGCGGUAAUACGGAGGGCGCAAGCGUUACCCGGAAUCACUGGGCGUAAAGCGUCCGUAGGCGGUCAUGCAAGUCGGGGGUGAAAGGCCUCAGCUCAACUGAGGAAUUGUCUCCGAAACUGUAUGACUCGAGGAAGGCAGAAGUGAGUGGAAUUCGGUGUGUAGGGGUAAAAUCCGUUGAUACACAGAGGAACGCCAAAAGCGAAAGCAGCUCACUGGGCCUUUCCUGACGCUGAGGGACGAAAGCAUGGGUAGCCAAGCGGAUUAGAUACCCGCGUAGUCCAUGCCGUAAACACUGGACACUCGGUGUUGGCUCCGAGCUUGACGAGGAGUCAGCGCUUUAGCUAACGCGUUAAGUGUCCCGCCUGGGGAGUACGG
rnacentral:rRNA from 1 species